GCAGGCACAUUCCUGCCAAUCAGCAGCAGACCCUUCCUCCCAGACCCUCCCACCUCCUGGACAGCAUCCAUUUUACAUUCAUUGUGAAGCUGCAUUCUUAGUGAGCUGUCCAGGAGGUGGGAGGGUCUGGGAGGGAGGGUCUGCUGCUGAUUGGCUGGAAUGUGUCUG
rnacentral:miRNA from 1 species